CUCUCUGUAGAAAGUGCGCGAGCGGUGGGCGGUUGAGAGCGAGCUAAAUGCAAUCUCAACAGAAGGAUGGAAUAAAAGUCCUGGACUACAAGUUGAGAAACACCAUUACAGUCCUAGCUCUGCCAUGAACAAGAAGUGUCGCCUUGAGCAAGUCAUUUCCUAUACCUGAGGCUCAAGUUUGUUUUCUCCAUCAGGGGAAGUAGAACAAGAUGAUCUCUUCCGCCUCUUGCUUUCUGUGACAGGAUCUCACUCUGUUGCCUGGGCUAGAGUGCAAUGACAUCAUCACAGCUCACUGAAACCUCAAACUCCUGGACUUAUGAAAUUCUGCCUCAGCUUCCUGAUCAGCUGUGACUAUGUGCCUAGGAAAAAAUAUUUCCUGGUAAAGUGGAAAAUUGUGCAGAUAGCUUCUGGAAGAUCUUCAUUCUAAGCAUCUUUAUUGUGAAACAUUUGGUUUAGAACUCUGGACCUUCUUUCUUCAGUUUGCUGUAAUCCACUUCCCUGAGUAGAACUUGUAUUGAUCAUUGGGAUCCAGUUCCAGAGUUCUAGGUUAUUCUUUCUGUUCCAACUAACAUCUGGAUUGAACAAUACCGGAAGCAAGACAUGCUGUGCUACUCCAGUACCUACAACGCCAAUAAAUAUGAAGAGGGGAAUCAAGCUCGAAUGCUUCUUGGCUUGACUCAGAAUCUGACAAAGCAUGUUUACAGCAGUGGCCUUUAGUCUAAAGGGAAAGAAAAAUAAACCUGCAGGCUAGGACCUGGACUCUGACUAGCUUCUGCUGUAUGCAAAGGUUACUUGAAUCCAAGCGAACAGAACUGGGCAUCAACGAAGUGAGCCUACGUGAAGGUGACCGGAGAGAGUUCGCAGUGCUGCGAACCUCUUGGCUGUGCCAGGCCACCAAAGUGACAGCACGAGGAAGCGCCGGGGCAACCGAGGUCGAACGUCACUUUUCACCCCGAAAGCCGAGGAAACAGGGAUGGACCAGGGCGUAGACACCUGCCUCGAAGUACCUCCUCACUUUCACUCCCGAAGCC